AAGCCAAUUCCAGUCCCUGGAGCUGCAAACUGCCCUCAGGGCAAAGAAGCCUGCAGAAUAAUUGGGAGGAGUCUGGCAGGAAGGAAGCCAAGUUUCCUGAGGCCCUCACCAGAAGCUCAUCAGAAGCAGAUGCUGGCACCACUCUUCUUAUGCUGUCUGCGUAACUAAUCAGUAUUUCAAGCAUCCAAAAUGUGUAGGAGAAUAUGGACCCAAGAACGGAGCAGAGAGACAAAUAGAGGAACGGAAAGUUUUGCCUACAACCAUGAUGUUCUCAAUGUUAGCUGACUGUGUUCUAAAAUCCACUCCAAUUCCCAUUUUGGGAGUUGCUAUGUGAUGAAGGUCUGCCCCUGUGGUGUUGGGACAACUUGCUCAUGGAGUUGCAGUUCUUGCCUAACAGGAACCCACCAUGGCUGUACAAGAAGCAUGGCACCAGCAUCUGCUUCUGGUGAGGCCGCAGGAAGCUUCCACUCAUGGUGGAAGGUGGAGGAGGAGCAGGCGUGUUAUAUGGCAAGAGCGAGAGCAAGAGAGAGAGCAGAAGGUGUCAGGCAACCAGCUCUCAUGUGAACUAAUGAGCAAGGACUCACUCAUCACCAAGGGGAUGGCCCCAGCCAUUCCUGAGAGAUCCGCCCCCUAACCCAAACACCUCCCACCAAGCCCCACCUCCAAGACUGGCGGUCAAAUUUUAACAUGAGACCUUCAUUAUCAAUGUUUGUGUAUCUACACAUCCAAAGUAGAUCAUCAUCUUUGGUCUUUGGGAGAUACACCAGAGAAAAACAACUCCUCUGGCCUGGGAGAUUUUGACUUUCUGCUUUUCAUGUGUGUUUGCUUUUAUCGAAGAGGGAAUCUGCUACUUGCCUGAUGCAACUGCAUUUGGAUACUGAACUGGGGCCCAAAGAGUCUCAAAUCACUGCCUGGGAAUGCCAAUUUCUCAUCAUGAAUUAGAAAUCAAUUCUAGCAGCCUCCCUGCUAAGUAAAAAAAUUACAUAAUUCUUUCUGCACUACUGCAUUAGGCUGAUUUUUUUUUUCCUUUUCCUGAAUGUACAGUAAAUCUCUAGUGGUUUAAGCCAUGGUGCCUCUGCUUAAACACAAUAUGAAAUCGCUACCAAAUUUAAAUAAAAAAUAAAUUCUG
rnacentral:lncRNA from 1 species